GCUGGGUGUGGUGGUGCAUGCCUGUAAUCCCAGCUACUGGGGAGGCUGAAGCAGGAGGCUUGAAAGUUUGAGGCCAGAUUCAG
rnacentral:sRNA from 1 species